CCACCACCAAUCCAACCAUGGCUCUGAAACGCACCUCCUUAAACGUGAAAGGUCUAAACCAUGAGUAGUCAACCUGGUCCCUACUGCCCACUAGUGGGUGGUUUGGGAUUUCAGGUGGGAGGUGGUGGGUUCUGCAAAAAACGCUCAGUAGGCCUCGAUGGCCGUGGACCAAGGCUGGCAGUGGAGAUCAUUUAAUCUCCCCUGCCAGCCCAUGCAGAGGCAGCCUUGGUGAGGAAAUCAAAGCACUUCGUUCCAGCAGAAGGAGGGAAGGGCCUGGCAUGCUCUGUGUUCCUCACGCGAGCAGGCUGGUCGGAGCGUUGCCAUACGUUACCAUGUGCUGUGCUCCCAGGAGGACAGAAGAGUCAGCCUGCAGGUAGAGGAGCUGCACGCUAAAGUGAACAUGCCACCACUGGACUACCAGGGUUUGCAGCAUUAUGUCCCCCCCCCCCUCCCUGGUAAAAGGUAAGAAGAAGGGAGGCGAAGACAUUAAGAUAGAUUUUCACAUCUCACCCACCUACACACAGCAUAGACCCUAUGCACCCUUCACAUACACACACAGAGACAGACUGUAUCCUCACACACACUGCACUCCUCACACACUACACCCCUCACACACAUUGCAGUCCUCACACACAAUGCACACCUCUCUCGCACACACAAACAUACAUACACACACACACACCGCACCUCCCAGACAUAAAUCAAAUCGCACGCUAUAGAAUUUGUUACUGUGGUACUGGUGGGCGGUAAGGAAAUUUUACCAUCAACAAAGAUACAAAAGUGGGCGGUAGGUAUUGAAAGGUUGACUACCCCUGGUCUAAACGAACCUAAAAAGGGGCGCCUAAUGUUCUGAGAGAUAAGGAGAUUGAACUCAGACAUAUCCUUUCUCCAGGAGACACACAUUCCAAAACACGCUAAUCUCCACCUAAAAGAUCACACCUACAGCACAGCAUAUGAUGUCAGAUCUCCGUAAACAUAACGGGGUAGCCAUUCUGUUUCGCAAUCAAUGUCCGAUUAAGAUCACAGGUUCCGAUCUAGACCCAGAGGGUAGAUACAUUUUCUUAACAUGGUCUCUAUAUUCCCAUACCAUCAACCUGAUAAGCAUUUAUGUCCCAAAUGAACCUGUGGCAGACAUCUUAGCGGCAAAAAUAGAUGCACUCCCUCAUGGUAUGCUAAUAAUGAACAGGAAUUUUAACCGAUUUUGACUAAAGUUAUACAUGCAGAUGAGGUAGGAUUUAUCCCAGGAAGACAACUCUUCGAGAACACCCGAUGAAACAGACAUCAUUUGGUGACAAGCCUCCUCAAACACACCCACCAUGGUGGUUUCCAUAGAGUGAAAUUACCCUAUCUUUUUAACUUACUUAGGAUUCCCAGUUUCAUACAUAACUUACAUCAGAGCAAUGUAUACUAACAUCACAGCCCAGGUAAAAAUUCUAGGUGCCCUACCACGUCCAUUUGGGCUUAGUAAUGGGAUAAGGCAGGGAUGCCUGCCGCCCCCCCCUACUAUUCGUUAUAUCACUAGAGCCCCUAUUGCAGGCUUUCCAAAAACAUCCACAAAUACAGGGAGUUAAAGGGCAGGAGUUUCUGGUAUCCGCAAACGCGGAUUAAGUACUUUUGACCCUAACCAACCCUGAUGAGUCCAUGAAGGUGGUGAGGGGCGUGCUCACUCGAUAUGGAGUAAUAUCGGGGUACAAAGCGAACAUGGAGAAAUCCAGUACACUACCGAUAGGGCUGUCUGCCGCGGACACGGCAUCCAUUCAUAAAACCCAUAUAUUCAAAUAGCUUGUAGAUCCAGAUCAAAUUAUUUGCUUUUUUAUUUGUAAAGAGUAUAGGGGGACCACCAUAUCCUUCGGACAUGAAUCCGGGAUAUUUUACGGUUUUCUCACCUGGUAUGUAUUUUCUUCUGAAAGUGAAUUAUCAAGUCCUUGUUUAUAUUGGGGAGAGAAAAAGGCACACAUUUGUUUAUCUUGUUUGCUAUCCUUUUUUAGUUCUUUGGUAUAUUUACAGUAGCCAUUUUCACUACUUAGUUCCACAGCCCCCUUUUUGUGUGUGUGUGUGUUCCUUUUUACUUCAAGUUCUCCUUUCUAAUUCAUAUAAACUAAUGUAGUUCCAAACUUAGGCUUCUGCAGUUGUCAUCCUUG